CAGUUCCUCAAGUGUCCACUAGAGGCUGGCUGUAGAAGCACAGGAAGUCACAUACACACCCAUUCUAAAAAGAUAGUUAAGAGGUAGUAAACAGGAAGUGAACAUGUAGUAACCAGGAAGUAAACAGGGAGAAAACAGGAAGUGAACAGGGAGUAAACAGGAAGUAAACAGGUAGUAAACAGGAAAUAAACAAGAAGUAGUAAACAGGAAGUGAACAGGGAGUAAACAGGAAGUGAACAGGUGGUAAACAGGAAAUAAACAAGAAGUAAACAGGAAG